CGAGGUUUCUCCAUUUUUGGUCAGGCUGGUCUGGAACUCCCAACCUCAGGUGAUCUGCCUGCCUUGGCCUCCCAAAGUGCUGGGAUUACAGGCGUGAGCCACCACGCCCAGCAGAAGUUAUGUUAAUAUGCCUGAAACCUAAUAUGCCCUGCCCAACCCAACUUUCUCACCUGCCAGUAGUACCCUGACUUUCCAGUCAUCCCGGCUCAAACCGUGUCCUUUUUGACUCCUUGCUUCUUUUAUUUGAUUAUAGUUACAGCCAGCAAGUCCUAACAGCUUGUUCAUUCAACAGAUAUUCUGGAGCUCCCAUUUGCUCAGCCCACACUGAUUUCUUUCCUCUUACAGCAUUUGCAUUUGGUACACUCGGCUUGGCACCUGAGAAUACUUUUCUUUUCUUUUUUUUUUUUUUGUUUGAGACAGUCUCCCUCUUGCCCAGGCUGGAGUGCAGUGGCACGAUCUUGGCUUACUGCAACCUCCGCCUCCUGUUCAAGCAAUUCUCAUGCCUCAGCCUCCCAAGUAGCUGGGAUUAUAGGCAUGCACCACCACACCUGGCUAAUUUUUUUUUUUUUUUUUUUUUUUUUUUUUUAGUAGAGACGGGGCUUCACCAUGUUGCUCAGGCUGGUCUCGAACUCCUGACCUCAGGUGAUCCAUCUGCCUUGGCCUCCCAAAGUUCUGGGAUUACAGGUAUGAGCUGCUGCACCCGGCCAGAUUUCACUUUUCAUUUGAGGUGGGUGCCCCUAAGUGUACUGACUUCACCUCAUCUGUAACUCCUCUUAGGCAAGGGUAACAUCUCACACCUCUUUGUAUCUUUCCCAGGACCUACUUCACAGUCCUGUGUUCCACUGUAGGCCCUCAUUCUCUAUAUUUGUAUGUACCUAGAUAGUGUGGGUCUAGGCUCUGGGGACAGAGCAGUGAAAAAAAAAACCUAACAAUAAUCCCUGCCCUCGUGAAUUAUACAAUCAGAGGAGAAAACAAAACAAUAAUUUAAAAAGUAAAUAAAAUAUGUAGUACGGGCCGGGCGUGGUGGCUUAUGUCUUAAUCCCAGCACUUUGGGAGGCUGAGGCAGGUGGAUCACCUGAGGUCAGGAGUUCGAAACCAGCGUGGCCAACAUGGCAAAACUCUGUCUCUACUAAAAAUACAAAAAUUAGCUGGAUGUGGUGGCACAUACCUGUAUUCCCAGCUACUUGAGAGGCUGAGGCAGAAGAAUCGCUUGAAUCCAGGAGGUGGAGGAUGCAGGAGCAGCCACUCCCGUGCGGGUGACAGAGCGAGACUCCGUCUCAAACAAAAACAACAAAAACAAAAACAAAACAAAACAAAGACAACUGUUUAGAAAAUAUAAAGUGAGAAAGGGGGCUAUAAAGUGUGUGACUGGAGGGAGGUAGGACACUGAACUAUUAGAUAGGAUGGCAGACUUUUGGGUAGAGUAUAAAAGAGGUGAAAGAGACAUAAGGGCUCUGGAGGAAGAGCAUUCUAGGAAGAGAGAAUAGGAUAUGCAAAGGCCCUGAGGAAGGAAUACGUCUCAUACCAUCCCCAGACAGCAAGAACAUGGAGGCUGUUUGUUGCAUUUCCCGUCCUGCAUUACAAUAAAAAAAAAAAAAAAAAAAAAAAAAAAAGGCAGGCCUCUAGCAGCUCGAAAUAGCCAUAACUCAUCAUCAUCACUCAUGAUAAGAACUCAGCAUUUGGCUGGGUGUGGUGGCUCACGCCUGUAAUCCCAGCACUUUGGGAGGCCGAGGCGGGCAGAUCACCUGAGGUCGGGAGUUCGAGAACAGCUUGACCAACAUGAAGAAACCCCGUCUCU
rnacentral:lncRNA from 1 species